UGUAGCUCACUGAAUUUACAAGCACCUGUCUUGUAAACAGGAGAUCCUGAGUUCAACUCUCAGCA
rnacentral:tRNA from 1 species